rnacentral:rRNA from 1 species
AGUGAACGCUGGCGGUAGGCCUAACACAUGCAAGUCGAACGGCAGCACAGUAAGAGCUUGCUCUUACGGGUGGCGAGUGGCGGACGGGUGAGGAAUACAUCGGGAUCUACUUUUUCGUGGGGGAUAACGUAGGGAAACUUACGCUAAUACCGCAUACGACCUACGGGUGAAAGCAGGGGAUCUUCGGACCUUGUGCGAUUGAAUGAGCCGGUGUCGGAUUAGCUAGUUGGCGGGGUAAAGGCCCACCAAGGCGACGAUCCGUAGCUGGUCUGAGAGGAUGAUCAGCCACACUGGAACUGAAACACGGUCCAGACUCCUACGGGAGGCAGCAGUGGGGAAUAUUGGACAAUGGGCACAAGCCUUAUCCAGCCAUACCGCGUGGGUGAAGAAGGCCUUCGGGUUGUAAAGCCCUUUUGUUGGGAAAGAAAAGCAGCAGGUUAAUACCCCGCUGUUCUGACGGUACCCAAAGAAUAAGCACCGGCUAACUUCGUG